rnacentral:rRNA from 1 species
UAGGGAAUCUUCGGCAAUGGGGGCAACCCUGACCGAGCAACGCCGCGUGAGUGAAGAAGGUUUUCGGAUCGUAAAGCUCUGUUGUAAGAGAAGAACGUGUGUGAGAGUGGAAAGUUCACACAGUGACGGUAACUUACCAGAAAGGGACGGCUAACUACGUGCCAGCAGCCGCGGUAAUACGUAGGUCCCGAGCGUUGUCCGGAUUUAUUGGGCGUAAAGCGAGCGCAGGCGGUUUAAUAAGUCUGAAGUUAAAGGCAGUGGCUUAACCAUUGUUCGCUUUGGAAACUGUUAAACUUGAGUGCAGAAAGGGAGAGUGGAAUUCCAUGUGUAGCGGUGAAAUGCGUAGAUAUAUGGAGGAACACCGGUGGCGAAAGCGGCUCUCUGGUCUGUAACUGACGCUGAGGCUCGAAAGCGUGGGGAGCAAACAGG